rnacentral:lncRNA from 1 species
AUCCAAAUAUAGGUUUGAUAAUUCUGUGACAAUAUUAUUAUUAUCCUUUUUUAUAUAUAUAUAGCUGGUUACGUUUUUCUCUUUGACUAUAUCACCCUGCUGCGCAGAUUUUUUUUAGCGACGUGAACAUGACCAAGGAAAAUUAUCAAGCUUACUCUCGUCUAUCGAAAAACUAUUGAAGCGAAGGAGAAAACAACAGAAAUGAAGCAAGAUAAGCAGUUUAUCGAAUUUUACCCAUUAGGAGCACC